rnacentral:rRNA from 1 species
CCUACGGGAGGCAGCAGUGGGGGAUAUUGCACAAUGGGGGGAACCCUGAUGCAGCGACGCCGCGUGGGUGAAGGAGUGCUUCGGCAUGUAAAGCCCUAUCGGCAGGGAAGAAGCAAGACGGUACCUGACUAAGAAGCCCCGGCUAACUACGUGCCAGCAGCCGCGGUAAUACGUAGGGGGCGAGCGUUAUCCGGAGUCACUGGGUGUAAAGGGAGCGUAGACGGCCAAGCAAGCCAGGGGUGAAAGCCCGGGGCCCAACCCCGGGACUGCCCUUGGAACUGCGUGGCGGGAGUGCGGGAGGGGCAGGGGGAAUUCCUGGUGGAGCGGUGAAAUGCGUAGAUAUCAGGAGGAACACCAGCGGCGAAGGCGGCCUGCUGGACCGCGACUGACGUUGAGGCUCGAAAGCGUGGGGAGCGAACAGGAUUAGAUACCCCUGUAGUC